AGUCAUAUAGCACUUCUUUCCAUCUGACAGGAUUUUACGACCCGAAGGCCUUCAUCAUCCACGCGGCGUCGCUGCGUCAGGGUUGCCCCCAUUGCGCAAUAUUCCU
rnacentral:rRNA from 1 species